GGUUAAGCGACUAAGCGUACACGGUGGAUGCCCUGGCAGUCAGAGGCGAUGAAGGACGUGCUAAUCUGCGAAAAGCGUCGGUAAGGUGAUAUGAACCGUUAUAACCGGCGAUGUCCGAAUGGGGAAACCCAGUGCAAUUCGUUGCACUAUCGUUAACUGAAUACAUAGGUUAACGAGGCGAACCGGGGGAACUGAAACAUCUAAGUACCCCGAGGAAAAGAAAUCAACCGAGAUUCCCCCAGUAGCGGCGAGCGAACGGGGAGCAGCCCAGAGUCUGAAUCAGCUUGUGUGUUAGUGGAACGGUCUGGAAAGUCCGACGGUACAGGGUGAUAGUCCCGUACACCAAAAUGCACAGGCUGUGAACUCGAAGAGUAGGGCGGGACACGUGGUAUCCUGUCUGAAUAUGGGGGGACCAUCCUCCAAGGCUAAAUACUCCUGACUGACCGAUAGUGAACCAGUACCGUGAGGGAAAGGCGAAAAGAACCCCGGCGAGGGGAGUGAAAAAGAACCUGAAACCGUGUACGUAAAAGCAGUGGGAGCACCUUCG
rnacentral:rRNA from 1 species